GAUAAAAAAGGAGUUUUCUGAAGGCAUCUCUCUGUGAGGAGACAAAGCUAUGAUACAAAUCACAAAAGGCUAAGAAAUGUUUACAGUUAACUGGAUUCAAGUGCUCAUUUCAUGAUCAGUUGUUUGGUGAUCACCCACAUCAUCAUCGGCCCUACAGGAUCUGGGACGCCACUGCCUCCGCUUGG